ensembl:lncRNA
GGAAGGGAGGCGGGCUCGCAGCUCAGCUGCUGACAUCUCGCCCCACGGCUUCCCCGGCGGGUCCCCGCCCGCGGCAGCGCGCCAGCUCCCUCCCGCCUCCCACCCGCCCCGCGGCGCGCCGGAUCCCCCGAGGCCGACCAGCGCCCAGGGCGGCCCUGCGGGGGCGGCUGCCCGCGGGCGCCGCGGUGCCCAGCCCGGCCCUCGGGCGAGGCGGCCCGGGGCUGCAGCCACCGAGCGGCUCCUCGCCCGGGAGCACGUUUCCAGGAAGCGCUCGAGGAGCCGGCCCGAGUUCCCGACAGCCGGCCGGGCGCGGGCGCGCAGAGAGGCUGAGUCUACACCAGCGAUCAAUGCACGCCCGCCUCUAAUCCCCUAGAGGCCGAGGCCGCCCUCGUCGUGCGAGUGCCCUGGCUCGUUUCGGGGGUGGUUGCCUUACUCCUUCCUGGUGGGCACGUCGCUUCGCCUCCUGGCCUGUGUGUAAAACCAGAGGGCCGGUGAGCCCCACCCCAGAGCCCGCCCUGUGAGCACCAGCGGUGCAGGGACCCAGGACCCUGAAUAUGGACCCCUCAGAAGUCGCUGCUUUUACUGCUACACAGCGGAUCCUAGUGGAGGCCUUACGGGCCAGGCCCACUGACCUGCAGUUGAACCAGCCAGCUCUUCCCCCUUAACUAGAACUAUUCUUAACAAGAACUACCUCCUCCUGGCUUUUUUUUUUUAAGGGGUUCCAGGGACGGGGGAGCCUGGUGGGCUGCCGUCUAUGGGGUCGCACAGAGUCGGACACGACUGAAGCGACUUAGCAGCAGCAGCAGCAGCAGCAGUGAUCAGCAAAUAUUCCCUUGGAAAAAACUCCUAAAAGAAGACUCUCAGGCUGGGUGUCCUCCAACCACAGGAUCCAGAGGAGGAAAGCGAGGCUCAGAGGUCCCGAGAGUUGCAGAUCCAGAAUCUAACAUGAAGGCUGACCUCUGGGAGGACCGUGCUUACUGCUUCCCGUGUACGACUUCAUCAAACAUGAGAACCAGGAAACUGGGAGAUGGCGAAGGACAGGGAGCCUGGUGUGCUGCAGUUCAUGGGGUUGCAACGAGUCAGACACAACUUAGCCACUGAACAACAACAACAACAGAUCCCAUGUCAUAGACGAAAGGUCCAGAGGCGUCCAGUCACGUGCCCAGGUCCCACCGCUCCUUGGUGCCAGGAUCAACAACCAGACAUCUCAGCCAAAAGGUGGGAGCAACCCAAGUGACCGUAGAUGGUUGAAUGGAUAAACAAAACAUGAUCUAUCCAUACAAGAGACUCUUAGUCCACGGGGGACUCUUAAAGAGGAAGGAAGUUCUGACACGCAUGACGAUAAGGCUAACCUUGAAGACAUUAUGAUCAGUCACAAAAGGACACAAGCCAGUCACAAAAGGACAAAUAUUGCAGGAUUGCACUUCAUAGAGGGUAUUCAGAAUAGUCAAAUCCACGGGGACAGAAAGGAGCGUGGAGGUUGCCAGGACAGAAAGGGCUGGUGGGGAGGGAGAAUGCGCAGUUAGUGUGGG